GGUGUAGUCUUCGGAAAAAGUCCGUUAGAGGUAACUUAGCAAGGCUAAAGAGGUAACGUUAACGUUAGCAAGGCUAACAUCCACGUUAACUCGGUUGAACUUUUAUUUAUUAAAGUUUCUUUUAAUCACCUCUUAUGUGUAAAUGAGAGGUUUUGUAAGGGUUUUACUGGGAAGUGAGCUAAUUUAUUUAACACAAACGUAAACGUAACGUAUCGGUGAUGUUUCAGGACUUUUAGGAGCAAUUGGCCGAAACUAACGUUAGCUCAAUGGUAACGUUAAACACAUUUUGAUUAAAUGUUCUGUGAUUUCAGUAGUAACGAAAUAACCCAUAGCAGAGAGAAAGCUCCACUAAGUUACUUCAACAUUUCUGAAGAAAGCUGCUGUCGGAGAAGUAACGUUUACGUUAGGACACAGAACAAGUUUGGAGUUAACCAGAACUCUUAUAGACUCCAUCUUGUCUUCAAAGAGAUGGCAACAUGAACGGGAAAAAAGGGGUUGUUGGUGAAAAAAGAGUCUUGACCUACAAAAGGUGCAGCUAAUAAUUGACUGUCAAAAAGAGGCACCCAGGCAUCGGAGGCACUGAGAUCAAGGUCUGCAUGGCACAAAAGUUAAGAGAUCUGAGGAGACGAGCAGAAAGGAUGCCUGCUGAAGGAGACACAAAGGACUGAGACAAUACACUUUUACAAAAGCACACCACACACACACACGCACACAUGCGUGUAUACCUGCGUUUUUUGUGGCUUUUUAUGUAUUUAUGUAUAAUAUGUGUGCUAAACAAAAGUGUAUAUAGUUUCUCAUUGAUAAUUGUCUUGAGAUAUUCACAUUUAUUCACAUUUAUAAACUUGUAUUUUUAUAAUCUCCUAAAGUCUUAGAAUUUAUGUUUUCAUGUUCAUGAUUAUUUUUUAUUAUUUUUUAUUUAAUUUUGUAAUACAUGUUGUUUAUAAAAAUACAUGU